rnacentral:lncRNA from 1 species
UCCGUUUGGUGCUGUCGAAAGUGGUGUUCCUGGUGAUAGCGUAGACAAUGAGGCAGAGGUGCAGUCGAGCGACGAGGGGGGUGAGGCGUCAGGAUUUAGAGAUCUCAAUGGGUGGCAGCAAUCGAUGGCGAGUCGAGAUGCAACAAUCGACGGCGAGGCGAGGCGCAGCAAUCGACGGUGCGGCGAGGCGAGGAGUAGCAAUACACGGCGCAGCGAGGAGAGGUGCAGCAGCGCGGCGAGGCGAGGCGCUGCAAUCGACGGCGACGGCGAGGCCAGGCGCAGAUCUGA